CAGCACCUCAAGUGGUCAGGAUGAUUAUUGGGCCUAAAGCAUCCGUAGCCGGCGCUGUAAGUUUUCGGUUAAAUCUGUACGCUCAACGUACAGGCUGCCGGGAAUACUGCAGCGCUAGGGAGUGGGAGAGGUAGACGGUACUCGGUAGGAAGGGGUAAAAUCCUUUGAUCUAUUGAUGACCACCUGUGGCGAAGUCGGUCUACCAGAACACGUCCGACGGUGAGGGAUGAAAGCUGGGGGAGCAAACCGGAUUAGAUACCCGAGUAGUCC
rnacentral:rRNA from 1 species